AUUGAACGCUGGCGGCAUGCCUUACACAUGCAAGUCGAACGGUAACAGGUCUUCGGAUGCCGACGAGUGGCGAACGGGUGAGUAAUACAUCGGAACGUGCCUAGUAGUGGGGGAUAACUACUCGAAAGAGUGGCUAAUACCGCAUGAGAUCCACGGAUGAAAGCAGGGGAUCGCAAGAACUUGUGCUACUAGAGCGGCCGAUGGCAGAUUAGGUAGUUGGUGGGAUAAAAGCUUACCAAGCCGACGAUCUGUAGCUGGUCUGAGAGGACGAUCAGCCACACUGGGACUGAGACACGGCCCAGACUCCUACGGGAGGCAGCAGUGGGGAAUUUUGGACAAUGGGCGAAAGCCUGAUCCAGCAAUGCCGCGUGCAGGAUGAAGGCCUUCGGGUUGUAAACUGCUUUUGUACGGAACGAAAAGCCCCGGGUUAAUACCCUGGGGUCAUGACGGUACCGUAAGAAUAAGCACCGGCUAACUACGUGCCAGCCGCCGCAGUAA
rnacentral:rRNA from 1 species